rnacentral:misc_RNA from 1 species
CCGAUUUUGUUAUACUUCCCCUAACUGACAGGUACAUGAUGCUGAAGAUUUCGGCCUACAUACACUGAAACUAUAUUAUCGAAUAACGGGAAGGAAACUAAAAAAGAUGUGAGGACAAGGUGGGGGUCAUUAAAAAGCAUGUGUUAUACUCAAACUGAGGCUGGGAACUCUGCACGGGACACUAGGCGUGGAGAACAGCCCUAGAGAUGCCCGGUGCACCACCGUUGCCUCAAAGGAGUGAUAGCUUGCCAAGUAGUAUAACGCCCCCCGUGCCCCCCAAACCCGCCACACAUCAGCUGCCUAGCUUUAGACCUGUGAGUGUAUCUAAAGAAGAAAGUCAUGCCAAGCCCAAAGUCUUGAAAUCAAAAUCGUAUGGAAAUUUGAAAAAAAUGGCUACUUUGGAGCAUUUGAAUAUUGAGUCGUCCAUAGUGCAGGACUUUGAGUAUAAAAGUCAUUACAAGCAUAGCUUCAAAACCUUUUUGGAAUUCUAUGAAAAAGAUCAAUUAUGUGACGUAGAAAUCAAAGUUGGGGAAAAAUCUUUUCGAUGCCAUAGGAUGGUUUUAGCUUGUGUUAGUCAAUAUUUUCGCAUCAUGUUCAUGUCUGAGAUGUCGGAGAGUCGACAGGAAACAAUCACAAUUCACGACAUUGAUGAAAGUGCAAUGGAAAAGCUCAUAAAGUUUGCAUAUACUUCAAAAAUUCAUCUUAGUGUAGACACAGUGCAGCCGAUUCUGUACGCUGCUUCAAUACUCCAAAUAGAAACUGUUGCUAAGGCCUGCUGUGAGUUCAUGAAAAAGCAUCUUCACCCGACCAAUUGUAUCGGUGUUCACAACUUCGCAGAACAACAUAACAGAACAGAGUUAAUGAAAAUGGCGGAUGAUUAUAUUCUUGAAAAUUUCUUGGAAGUCGUAGAAACAGAAGAAUUUAAAAAUGUCUCGGUGAAGCUUAUGUGUACAAUAAUGGCGUCCUCUGAUCUCAAUGUCAGCAAUGAAAUUGAGGCUUAUGAGUCGGUGAUAAAAUGGGUAAAGAGCAAUCCUGAAAAUCGGAAAAAAAAUUUGGCUGAACUUUUGUCCCAUCUAAAACUGCCGUUACUCAGUGUGCAGUACCUACAGAAGCAUGUCGCUACGGAGGAACUCAUCAAGCAUGACCUCGCGUGUCGUGACCUUCUUGAUGAGGCUAAGUACUAUAAAAUGUCUGUUGCCAACUUACUCACAGAUAUCAGCAUUUCUGAAAGGACGAGGCCAAGGAAAAGCUAUGCAGGUGUUCUGUUUUGUGUCGGUGGGCGAGGAGCCUCUGGUGAUCCCUUUAAAAGUAUCGAGUGCUAUGACUACCGGAAAAACAGAUGGUUCCAAGUGUCGGAGAUGAACACUAGGCGGCGCCAUGUCGGUGUGUGCUGCGCUUCAGACCUUCUUUACGCUGUUGGAGGACACGAUGGCACUAAACACCUCAACUCCGGGGAAGUCUUUGAUCCCAAAUCCAACACCUGGACAAGUAUUUCACCCAUGUCAACACCUCGGCGUGGCAUUGCCUUGGCCUGUCUAGGAGGUCCGAUUUAUGCUGUGGGAGGGCUGGAUGAUUCAACCUGUUUUAACACUGUGGAAAGGUUUGAUCAAAGUUCCGACUCCUGGACAUUUGUAGCCUCCAUGAACACUCCUCGCGGAGGAGUGGGUGUGGCAACAUUGAAUGAGGGUUUGACGACAAUGCACCUCUCGAUUCAUGUGAGCAGUAUGAUCCCAGGACAGAUAAGUGGACGACGGUGGCGAGUAUGUCCUGUUGUCGCGGCGGAGUCGGCGUGGGAACUAUGGGUGGGCGAUUGUAUGCUGUAGGGGGACACGAUGGAACAAACUAUCUCAGCUCCGUAGAGGCCUACGACCCACUUAUAGACAGCUGGAAAACUAUGACGGACAUUUGUAAUUGCCGAGCAGGAGCGGGCCUAGCCUUCUGUAACCUGUGUCCUGUCGCCCUGCAGCAGUC